UACGUAGGGGGCUAGCGUUGUCCGGAAUCAUUGGGCGUAAAGCGCGUGUAGGCGGCCCGGUAAGUCCGCUGUGAAAGUCGGGGGCUCAACCCUCGGAUGCCGGUGGAUACUGUCGGGCUAGAGUACGGAAGAGGCGAGUGGAAUUCCUGGUGUAGCGGUGAAAUGCGCAGAUAUCAGGAGGAACACCAAGUGCGAAGGCAGCUCGCUGGGACGUUACUGACGCUGAGACGCGAAAGCGUGGGGAGCAAACAGG
rnacentral:rRNA from 1 species